rfam:Chelonia mydas contig154574, whole genome shotgun sequence.
GCCUGGUUCAGCUCAGUUGGUAGAAUAUCAGACUUUUAAUCUGCAAGUCCAGGGUUCAAAUCCUUGCGCAGGUG